rnacentral:rRNA from 1 species
CCUACGGGAGGCUGCAGUGGGGGAUAUUGCACAAUGGGGGGAACCCUGAUGCAGCGACGCCGCGUGGGUGAAGAAGCGCCUCGGCGCUUAAAGCCCUGUCAGCAGGGGAGAAAAUGACGGUACCUGAAGAAGAAGCCCCGGCUAACUACGUGCCAGCAGCCGCGGUAAUACGUAGGGGGCAGGCGUUAUCCGGAUUUACUGGGUGUAAAGGGAGCGCAGACGGCAGUGCAAGUCUGGAGUGAAAGCCCGGGGCCCAACCCCGGAACUGCUCUGGAAACUGUGCGGCUAGAGUACUGGAGGGGCAGGCGGAAUUCCUAGUGUAGCGGUGAAAUGCGUAGAUAUUAGGAGGAACACCAGUGGCGAAGGCGGCCUGCUGGACAGUAACUGACGUUGAGGCUCGAAAGCGUGGGGAGCAAACAGGAUUAGAUACCCGAGUAGUC